rnacentral:rRNA from 1 species
UACGGAGGGUGCGAGCGUUGUUCGGAAUCACUGGGCGUAAAGGGUGCGUAGGCGGCUUUGUAAGUCAGUGGUGAAAUAUGGCAGCUCAACUGUCAGGGUGCCAUUGAUACUGCGGAGCUUGAGUACAGAUGAGGUAGGCGGAAUUGACGGUGUAGCGGUGAAAUGCUUAGAUAUCGUCAAGAACACCGAUAGCGAAGGCAGCUUACUAGGCUGUAACUGACGCUGAGGCACGAAAGUGUGGGGAUCAAACAGG